GACAUAGGUGGCAAGCGUUGUCCGGAUUUAUUGGGUUUAAAGGGUGCGUAGGCGGUCUUCUAAGUCAGUUGUGAAAUACUUCAGCUUAACUGGAGAGGUGCAAUUGAUACUGGAAGACUUGAGUACUGAUGAGGUAGGCGGAAUGGACGGUGUAGCGGUGAAAUGCUUAGAUAUCGUCCAGAACACCGAUAGCGAAGGCAGCUUACUAAGGAGUAACUGACGCUGAGGCACGAAAGUGUGGGGAGCAAACAGG
rnacentral:rRNA from 1 species